AGCUCCAAUAGCGUAUACUAAAGUUGUUGCAGUUAAAAAGCUCGUAGUUGAAUUUCUGGUUGUGGAAAUCGGUCUGCACCUCACGGUGUAUGCACCAGGUAGCCAUGUCCUUCCUCGGAGAGAGCAUAUCUGGCAUUUAGUUGUCGGGUGUGAUAUCUUCGUCAUUUACUGUGAGCAAAAUAGAGUGUUCAAAGCAGGCUUAGGCCGUUGAAUACAUUAGCAUGGAAUAAUAAUAUAGGACCUUAGUCUUAUUUUGUUGGUUUGCAUUCUAAGGUAAUGAUUAAUAGGGACAGUUGGGGGUAUUCGUAUUCAAUUGUCAGAGGUGAAAUUCUUAGAUUUAGGGAAGACGAACUACUGCGAAAGCAUUUACCAAGGAUGUUUUCA
rnacentral:rRNA from 1 species